UCGUAUUUUCAUGUCAUAAACGAUCCAAAGGGGUACCAAUUAUUUGUAAAUAUAAAUAGACCUUUCUAAACCUUAUUUUCAACCGUAAAAUCAUUUCACCAGUUUCUCUGCACGAAUACCGAGAGAAACCGAGCGGUGUUCUUCGUGUUCUUCAUAAUCAAACGAAGAUUUGAAGGCGUUAUUGGAGUCAGAAUCAAGCGUGCGAAUAGUCAAAUCGAAGGUAUCGAAGAGUAGAACCUAUAUCUGCAAUCAAAACCAACAUGAGAUUCACAGAAAGGCUUAAAGAUGAGAUGAUUGAUUGAGAUUGUGAAUAAGGCUAAUGCUAGGCGAGGAGACAGAGUUGAGGAUCCAGUGGUCGAGGAGUGUGCAGGAAAGUUGAUGAGGUUGGUGCAAGCUAGAGUUGUGCUAUUGAGAUUCAGAUGUAAGUCAUAGCUGGAAUAGUUGACAGUGAUUCUUCUUAUCGAAAAUGAUCUGAUUUGGUAAGAGAUGUUGUGUAAUAAUAGUGGUGGAUUCUAAUUUCAAUACUGUAACCUGGAAGCGAUCCUGUUGCUUUUAGGGGGUUUAAAUGUUCUCUUUCGAAUCAUUUAUUAAAGUUUAAAUGUUCUCUUGAAAUUCUCCUAUUAUGGCUUUCAAGUUUGAAAUUCAGGUUUUGAAAUCA